rfam:Neotoma lepida isolate 417 scaffold_430, whole genome shotgun sequence.
GGAGAGAUGGCUCAAUGAUUAAGAGCACUGGCUGUUCUCCCAAAGGACCUGGGUUCAAUUCCCAGUUCCCUCA